CGUGUGGCGUUUUGCGAGUACCUGAAGAAAAAGCAUCGGCUAACUCCGUGCCAGCAGCCGCGGUAAUACGGAGGAUGCGAGCGUUAUCCGGAUUUAUUGGGUUUAAAGGGUGCGCAGGCGGAAUGUCAAGUCAGCGGUAAAAUUUCGGGGCUCAACCCCGUCGUGCCGUUGAAACUGGCGUUCUUGAGUGAGCGAGAAGUAUGCGGAAUGCGUGGUGUAGCGGUGAAAUGCAUAGAUAUCACGCAGAACUCCGAUUGCGAAGGCAGCAUACCGGCGCUCAACUGACGCUCAUGCACGAAAGCGUGGGUAUCGAACAGGAUUAGAUACCCUGGUAGUCCACGCAGUAAACGAUGAAUACUAACUGUCCGGGCAGAAUGAUGCCUG
rnacentral:rRNA from 1 species